AAUGAACGUUGGCGGCGUGGAUUAGGCAUGCAAGUCGAGCGAGAACCCCGCAAGGGGGGACAGCGGCGAAAGGGACAGUAAUGUGUAGAUUAUCUGCCCUCAGGUCCGGGAUAGCUGCGGGAAACUGCAGGUAAUACCGGAUAACAUCUCCGGAUCAAAGGUGUGAUUCCGCCUGAGGAUGAGUCUGCAUCCUAUUAGCUAGUUGGUGGGGUAAUGGCCUACCAAGGCAUUGAUGGGUAGCAGGUGUGAGAGCACGACCUGCGUCAUUGGGACUGAGACACUGCCCAGACACCUACGGGUGGCUGCAGUCGAGAAUCUUCGGCAAUGGGCGCAAGUCUGACCGAGCGACGCCGCGUGUGGGAUGAAGGCCUUCGGGUUGUAAACCACUGUCAGAGGGGAUGAAAUGCAGGUGGGUUCUCCCAUCUGUUUGACAUAGCCUCAGAGGAAGGACGGGCUAAGUUCGUG
rnacentral:rRNA from 1 species